AUUGAACGCUGGCGGCAUGCCUUACACAUGCAAGUCGAACGGUAACAGGUCUUCGGAUGCUGACGAGUGGCGAACGGGUGAGUAAUACAUCGGAACGUGCCUAGUAGUGGGGGAUAACUACUCGAAAGAGUGGCUAAUACCGCAUGAGAUCUACGGAUAAAAGCAGGGGAUCGCAAGACCUUGUGCUACUAGAGCGGCCGAUGGCAGAUUAGGUAGUUGGUGGGAUAAAAGCUUACCAAGCCGACGAUCUGUAGCUGGUCUGAGAGGACGAUCAGCCACACUGGGACUGAGACACGGCCCAGACUCCUACGGGAGGCAGCAGUGGGAAUUUUGGACAGUGGGCGCAAGCCUGAUCCAGCAAUGCCGCGUGCAGGAUGAAGGCCUUCGGGUUGUAAACUGCUUUUGUACGGAACGAAAAGCCCUGGGUUAAUACCCUGGGGUCAUGACGGUACCGUAAGAAUAAGCACCGGCUAACUACGUGCCAGCCGCCGCCGUAACAC
rnacentral:rRNA from 1 species